UACGUAGGGAGCGAGCGUUGUCCGGAAUUACUGGGUGUAAAGGGAGUGUAGGCGGGACUGUAAGUCAGAUGUGAAAGGCGGGGGCUUAACCCCCGAGCUGCAUUUGAAACUGUUGGUCUUGAGUAUCGGAGAGGCAGGCGGAAUUCCCGGUGUAGCGGUGAAAUGCGUAGAGAUCGGGAGGAACACCAGUGGCGAAGGCGGCCUGCUGGACUGUAACUGACGUUGAGGCUCGAAAGCGUGGGGAGCAA
rnacentral:rRNA from 1 species